rnacentral:rRNA from 1 species
AGGACGAACGCUGGCGGCGUGCCUAACACAUGCAAGUCGAGCGAGGAGAUCCUUCGGGAUGAUCCUAGCGGCGGACGGGUGAGUAACACGUGGGCAACCUGCCUCAUAGAGAGGAAUAGCCUUCCGAAAGGGAGAUUAAUACCUCAUAACAUUGCAGUUUCGCAUGAAACAGCAAUUAAAGGAGCAAUCCGCUAUGAGAUGGGCCCGCGGCGCAUUAGCUAGUUGGUGAGGUAACGGCUCACCAAGGCGACGAUGCGUAGCCGACCUGAGAGGGUGAUCGGCCACAUUGGGACUGAGACACGGCCCAGACUCCUACGGGAGGCAGCAGUGGGGAAUAUUGCACAAUGGGGGAAACCCUGAUGCAGCAACGCCGCGUGAGUGAUGACGGCCUUCGGGUUGUAAAGCUCUGUCUUCAGGGACGAUAAUGACGGUACCUGAGGAGGAAGCCACGGCUAACUACGUGCCAGCCGCGGC